rnacentral:rRNA from 1 species
GGCGACGGUUGUCCCGGUUUAAGCGUGUAGGUGUGUGUUCCAGGUAAAUCCGGUUCACUUUAACACUGAGGCGUGACGACGAGGCACUACGGUGCUGAAGCAACAAAUGCCCUGCUUCCAGGAAAAGCCUCUAAGCAUCAGGUAACAUCAAAUCGUACCCCAAACCGACACAGGUGGUCAGGUAGAGAAUACCAAGGCGCUUGAGAGAACUCGGGUGAAGGAACUAGGCAAAAUGGUGCCGUAACUUCGGGAGAAGGCACGCUGACACGUAGGUGAAGUGAUUUACUCAUGGAGCUGAAGUCAGUCGAAGAUACCAGCUGGCUGCAACUGUUUAUUAAAAACACAGCACUGUGCAAACACGAAAGUGGACGUAUACGGUGUGACGCCUGCCCGGUGCCGGAAGGUUAAUUGAUGGGGUCAGCGCAAGCGAAGCUCCUGAUCGAAGCCCCGGUAAACGGCGGCCGUAACUAUAACGGUCCUAAGGUAGCGAAAUUCCUUGUCGGGUAAGUUCCGACCUGCACGAAUGGCGUAAUGAUGGCCAGGCUGUCUCCACCCGAGACUCAGUGAAAUUGAACUCGCUGUGAAGAUGCAGUGUACCCGCGGCAAGACGGAAAGACCCCGUGAACCUUUACUAUAGCUUGACACUGAACAUUGAGCCUUGAUGUGUAGGAUAGGUGGGAGGCUUUGAAGUGUGGACGCCAGUCUGCAUGGAGCCGACCUUGAAAUACCACCCUUUAAUGUUUGAUGUUCUAACGUGGACCCGUUACCCGGGUUGCGGACAGUGUCUGGUGGGUAGUUUGACUGGGGCGGUCUCCUCCUAAAGAGUAACGGAGGAGCACGAAGGUUGGCUAAUCCUGGUCGGACAUCAGGAGGUUAGUGCAAUGGCAUAAGCCAGCUUGACUGCGAGCGUGACGGCGCGAGCAGGUGCGAAAGCAGGUCAUAGUGAUCCGGUGGUUCUGAAUGGAAGGGCCAUCGCUCAACGGAUAAAAGGUACUCCGGGGAUAACAGGCUGAUACCGCCCAAGAGUUCAUAUCGACGGCGGUGUUUGGCACCUCGAUGUCGGCUCAUCACAUCCUGGGGCUGAAGUAGGUCCCAAGGGUAUGGCUGUUCGCCAUUUAAAGUGGUACGCGAGCUGGGUUUAGAACGUCGUGAGACAGUUCGGUCCCUAUCUGCCGUGGGCGCUGGAGAACUGAGGGGGGCUGCUCCUAGUACGAGAGGACCGGAGUGGACGCAUCACUGGUGUUCGGGUUGUCAUGCCAAUGGCACUGCCCGGUAGCUAAAUGCGGAAGAGAUAAGUGCUGAAAGCAUCUAAGCACGAAACUUGCCCCGA